CUGAGGUGGUGUGACUGUGUACAUUGUGGCUGGCUAACUGUGACAUUUGCUGCACCGAGUGGGAAAUAAAAAGCUCCUGACUUCUGAGAGUUGUUUCAAGCCCUGUCUGAGAAGAUGGAGCAUUAUGGAGGAGUUAAACAUGAUGUGAAGAAGUUCUGUGACAGCAGAUCACCUAGCCUGAUAUUUGAGCACUGGGAAUACAAACAGAAGAUCCAAAUUUGCUCCUGCUCCCUGGCCUGUGUUAAUAUCAAGACUGCAGUUUGAGAUGUCAUCAGAAUUAAGCAUUUAAUGUGACUGUGAGUGGAAUGCAUAGGGUAUGUAACACUGUGAUUUAGGUAUAUUGUAGUGCAAAUAACAUUCAGUGUGUUGGAUGCAGCAAGGAAUGCUUUUCUGUUAGCUGCUCAAGGUAGAUGUUCUGAUGUGUGAAGAAUUUUACAUCUGAAAAACGCUAUGACUGAUAAUGAGAAUGAGGAACAAUGGUGCUGUCUCACCAACCAAGAUGAAAGGAAGCAGGUUAACCAACAGAGUAAUGGGAAAAAAUUGUGCCAGACUUUGCAGGUCAUCCUCAAUAACUCUCUUCUGUGAUUUGCUUGCUCUUGUUAGGUAUGCUAGAAUGCAUCAUAUACUGUCUGCUAACCACGCUAGGAAUGUCCCAGGCCCUUGUAGUCUUUCUUCAUGUCAGUCUCAAAAAAUCCUCCAAAUAUUCUUCCCUUUGAAUUAAUUCCUCACUGCCUCUGUUUGCAUGGAAUGUGAGUGAUAUGAACUGAACUAUUGACUCAUCAAUGUG